rnacentral:rRNA from 1 species
UCAAAUCAGGUAGGACUACCCGCUGAACUUAAGCAUAUCAAUAAGCGGAGGAAAAGAAACUAACAAGGAUUCCCCUAGUAACGGCGAGUGAAGCGGGAAGAGCUCAAAUUUGAAAUCUGGUAGCCUUCGGUUGCCCGAGUUGUAAUCUAGAGAAGUGUUUUCCGUGCCGGCCCAUGUACAAGUCCCUUGGAACAGGGCGUCAUAGAGGGUGAGAAUCCCGUCCUUGACAUGGACCCCCGGUGCUUUGUGAUACACUUUCAACGAGUCGAGUUGUUUGGGAAUGCAGCUCAAAAUGGGUGGUGAAUUCCAUCUAAAGCUAAAUAUUGGCGAGAGACCGAUAGCGAACAAGUACCGUGAGGGAAAGAUGAAAAGCACUUUGGAAAGAGAGUUAAACAGUACGUGAAAUUGUUGAAAGGGAAACGAUUGAAGUCAGUCAUGCUCUUGGGACUUACCUCCCUUGAGUGGGGUCAACAUCAGUUUUGAUCGAUGGAUAAAGGCACGGGGAAGGUAGCACUCUCGGGUGAACUUAUAGCCUCGCGUCAUAUACAUUGAUUGGGACUGAGGAACGCAGCAUGCCUUAUGGCCGGGAUUCGUCCACGUACAUGCUUAGGAUGUUGACAUAAUGGCUUUAAACGACCCGUCUUGAAACACGGACCAA